rnacentral:rRNA from 1 species
UACGUAGGGGGCUAGCGUUGUCCGGAAUCAUUGGGCGUAAAGCGCGCGUAGGCGGCCUGGUAAGUCCGCUCUGAAAGUCCAGGGCUCAACCCUGGAAAGCGGGUGGAUACUGCCGGGCUAGAAUCCGGAAGAGGCGAGUGGAAUUCCUGGUGUAGCGGUGGAAUGCGCAGAUAUCAGGAGGAACACCAAUAGCGAAGGCAGCUCGCUGGGACGGUAUUGACGCUAAGGCGCGAAAGCGUGGGGAGCGAACAGG